rnacentral:rRNA from 1 species
UACGUAGGGGGCUAGCGUUGUCCGGAAUCAUUGGGCGUAAAGCGUGUGUAGGCGGCCUUGUAAGUCCGUUCUGAAAGCCCGGGGCUCAACCCCGGGAGGCGGAUGGAUACUGCAAGGCUCGAGUCCGGAAGAGGCGAGUGGAAUUCCCGGUGUAGCGGUGAAAUGCGCAGAUAUCGGGAGGAACACCAAUGGCGAAGGCAGCUCGCUGGGACGGUACUGACGCUGUGACGCGAAAGCGUGGGGAGCGAACCGG